rnacentral:rRNA from 1 species
UUGAACGCUGGCGGCAGGCCUAACACAUGCAAGUCGCGCGGAUGAAGGGAGCUUGCUCCUGGAUUCAGCGGCGGACGGGUGAGUAAUGCCUAGGAAUCUGCCUGGUAGUGGGGGAUAACGUCCGGAAACGGGCGCUAAUACCGCAUACGUCCUGAGGGAGAAAGUGGGGGAUCUUCGGACCUCACGCUAUCAGAUGAGCCUAGGUCGGAUUAGCUAGUUGGUGGGGUAAAGGCCUACCAAGGCGACGAUCCGUAACUGGUCUGAGAGGAUGAUCAGUCACACUGGAACUGAGACACGGUCCAGACUCCUACGGGAGGCAGCAGUGGGGAAUAUUGGACAAUGGGCGAAAGCCUGAUCCAGCCAUGCCGCGUGUGUGAAGAAGGUCUUCGGAUUGUAAAGCACUUUAAGUUGGGAGGAAGGGCAGUAAGUUAAUACCUUGCUGUUUCGACGUUACCAACAGAAUAAGCACCGGCUAACUUCGUG